rnacentral:misc_RNA from 1 species
AAAAUUUCGUACUAUGGAUUCUGUAAUUGUUUCACAAUGAUCACGGAUGAAUUUAUUGAUAGAACCAGGAUGAACAUAUUCCAGAUAAAUGUAAAAUCGGUCACCAACUACUUCGCUGCCGUAAUACUGGACAAUAUUUGGGUGCUUGAGAUGACUGAGAACAUUAAUUUCCUGCUCUAAUUGCCUUAUGCUCUCUGCAGAUUUCGG